rnacentral:rRNA from 1 species
UAGUGGGUUAGUGGCGGACGGGUGAGUAACGCGUGGGUAACCUGCCUUACACAGGGGGAUAACACCUGGAAACAGGUGCUAAUACCGCAUAAGCGCACAGGGCCGCAUGGCCCGGUGUGAAAAACUCCGGUGGUGUAAGAUGGACCCGCGUCUGAUUAGCUUGUUGGCGGGGUAGGGGCCCACCAAGGCGACGAUCAGUAGCCGGCCUGAGAGGGUGGACGGCCACAUUGGGACUGAGACACGGCCCAAACUCCUACGGGAGGCAGCAG